rnacentral:rRNA from 1 species
GGCCUUUUGAAUUUAAUUUAAGGUCUGACCUGCCCAGUGAUUUAUUUAACGGCCGCGGUAAAUUGACCGUGCAAAGGUAGCAUAAUCAUUAGUCUUUUAAUAGAGGGCUGGAAUGAACGGUUUAACGAGGAACUGACUGUCUCAUUUUAUUUGUUUUAAAAUUUAAUUUUUUAGUUAAAAAGCUAAAAUAUUAUUGGAAGACGAGAAGACCCUAUAGAUCUUUAUAUAAUUUUCUAUAUUUAUUUAUAUAUUAACAUAACUAUAUUAAAAUUUUAUUUUGUUGGGGUGACAAAAAUAUAUAUUUAACUUUUUGAUUUAUUUAACAUUGAUUUAUGAUUAUUAGAUCCAUUAUUAGUGAUUGUUAGUGUAAGUUACCUUAGGGAUAACAGCGUAAUCUUCCUCCAGAGUUCAUAUUUACAGGGAGGCUUGCGACCUCGAUGUUGGAUUAAGAUAAUAAUUAGGUGUAGCCGCUUAAUUUAUAGGUCUGUUCGACCUUUAAACUCUU